rnacentral:rRNA from 1 species
AGAGUUUGAUCCUGGCUCAGGACGAACGCUGGCGGCGUGCCUAAUACAUGCAAGUCGAACGCUUUUUCUUUCACCGGAGCUUGCUCCACCGAAAGAAAAGGAGUGGCGAACGGGUGAGUAACACGUGGGUAACCUGCCCAUCAGAAGGGGAUAACACUUGGAAACAGGUGCUAAUACCGUAUAACAAUCGAAACCGCAUGGUUUCGGUUUGAAAGGCGCUUUUGCGUCACUGAUGGAUGGACCCGCGGUGCAUUAGCUAGUUGGUGAGGUAACGGCUCACCAAGGCGACGAUCCAUAGCCGACCUGAGAGGGUGAUCGGCCACACUGGGACUGAGACACGGCCCAGACUCCUACGGGAGGCAGCAGUAGGGAAUCUUCGGCAAUGGGGGCAACCCUGACCGAGCAACGCCGCGUGAGUGAAGAAGGUUUUCGGAUCGUAAAGCUCUGUUGUAAGUCAAGAACGAGUGUGAGAGUGGAAAGUUCACACUGUGACGGUAGCUUACCAGAAAGGGACGGCUAACUACGUGCCAGCAGCCGCGGUAAUACGUAGGUCCCGAGCGUUGUCCGGAUUUAUUGGGCGUAAAGCGAGCGCAGGCGGUUUGAUAAGUCUGAAGUUAAAGGCUGUGGCUCAACCAUAGUUCGCUUUGGAAACUGUCAAACUUGAGUGCAGAAGGGGAGAGUGGAAUUCCAUGUGUAGCGGUGAAAUGCGUAGAUAUAUGGAGGAACACCGGUGGCGAAAGCGGCUCUCUGGUCUGUAACUGACGCUGAGGCUCGAAAGCGUGGGGAGCGAACAGGAUUAGAUACCCUGGUAGUCCACGCCGUAAACGAUGAGUGCUAGGUGUUGGGGGGCAAAGCCCUUCGGUGCCGUCGCAAACGCAAUAAGCACUCCACCUGGGGAGUACGUUCGCAAGAAUGAAACUCAAAGGAAUUGACGGGGACCC